UGGGGAAUAUUGCACAAUGGAGGGAACUCUGAUGCAGCGACGCCGCGUGAGUGAUGAAGGAAUUCGUGUCGUAAAACUCUGUUCUAUGGGAAGAAAAGGACUGUACCAUAGGAGAAAGCUCCGGCUAAAUACGUGCCAGCAGCCGCGGUAAUACGUAUGGAGCGAGCGUUGUCCGGAAUUAUUGGGCGUAAAGGGUGCGCAGGCGGCUUUACAAGUUGGAUGUGAAAUAUUGUGGCUCAACCACAAACGUGCAUCCAAAACUGCAAAGCUUGAGUUAAGGAGAGGUAAGUGGAAUUCCUGGUGUAGCGGUGGAAUGCGUAGAUAUCAGGAGGAAUACCGGUGGCGAAGGCGACUUACUGGACUUAAACUGACGCUCAGGCACGAAAGCGUGGGGAGCAAACAGG
rnacentral:rRNA from 1 species